rnacentral:miRNA from 1 species
AGGAGAGAUUUGGUACUGUGUAGU